rnacentral:tRNA from 1 species
GGAGAAAUACCCAAGUGGCUGAAGGGUUCGGUCUUGAAAACCGAUAGGGGGAGCAAUCCCCGCGGGGGUUCAAAUCCCUCUUUCUCCGCCA